AGCGUACACGGUGGAUGCCCUGGCAGUCAGAGGCGAUGAAGGACGUGCUAAUCUCGGCGAUGUCCGAAUGGGGAAACCCAGUGCAAUUCGUUGCACUAUCGUUAACUGAAUACAUAGGUUAACGAGGCGAACCGGGGGAACUGAAACAUCUAAGUACCCCGAGGAAAAGAAAUCAACCGAGAUUCCCCCAGUAGCGGCGAGCGAACGGGGAGCAGCCCAGAGUCUGAAUCAGCUUGUGUGUUAGUGGAACGGUCUGGAAAGUCCGACGGUACAGGGUGAUAGUCCCGUACACCAAAAUGCACAGGUUGUGAACUCGAAGAGUAGGGCGGGACACGUGGUAUCCUGUCUGAAUAUGGGGGGACCAUCCUCCAAGGCUAAAUACUCCUGACUGACCGAUAGUGAACCAGUACCGUGAGGGAAAGGCGAAAAGAACCCCGGCGAGGGGAGUGAAAAAGAACCUGAAACCGUGUACGUACAAGCAGUGGGAGCACCUUCGGGUGUGACUGCGUACCUUUUGUAUAAUGGGUCAGCGACUUAUAUUCUGUAGCAAGGUUAACCGUAUAGGGGAGCCGCAGGGAAACCGAGUCUUAACUGGGCGUUAAGUUGCAGGGUAUAGACCCGAAACCCGGUGAUCUAGCCAUGGGCAGGUUGAAGGUUGGGUAACACUAACUGGAGGACCGAACCGACUAAUGUUGAAAAAUUAGCGGAUGACUUGUGGCUGGGGGUGAAAGGCCAAUCAAACCGGGAGAUAGCUGGUUCUCCCCGAAAGCUAUUUAGGUAGCGCCUCGUGAAUUCAUCUUCGGGGGUAGAGCACUGUUUCGGCUAGGGGGUCAUCCCGACUUACCAACCCGAUGCAAACUACGAAUACCGAAGAAUGUUAUCACGGGAGACACACGGCGGGUGCUAACGUCCGUCGUGAAGAGGGAAACAACCCAGACCGCCAGCUAAGGUCCCAAAGUCAUGGUUAAGUGGGAAACGAUGUGGGAAGGCACAGACAGCCAGGAUGUUGGCUUAGAAGCAGCCAUCAUUUAAAGAAAGCGUAAUAGCUCACUGGUCGAGUCGGCCUGCGCGGAAGAUGUAACGGGGCUAAACCAUGCACCGAAGCUGCGGCAGCGACACUAUGUUAAACCAUGCACCGAAGCUGCGGCAGCGACGCUUAUGCGUUGUUGGGUAGGGGAGCGUUCUGUAAGCCUGCGAAGGUGGCCUGUGAGGGUUGCUGGAGGUAUCAGAAGUGCGAAUGCUGACAUAAGUAACGAUAAAGCGGGUGAAAAGCCCGCUCGCCGGAAGACCAAGGGUUCCUGUCCAACGUUAAUCGGGGCAGGGUGAGUCGACCCCUAAGGCGAGGCCGAAAGGCGUAGUCGAUGGGAAACAGGUUAAUAUUCCUGUACUUGGUGUUACUGCGAAGGGGGGACGGAGAAGGCUAUGUUAGCCGGGCGACGGUUGUCCCGGUUUAAGCAUGUAGGCGGAGGUUCCAGGUAAAUCCGGUACCUUUUAACGCUGAGGUGUGAUGACGAGGCACUACGGUGCUGAAGUAACAAAUGCCCUGCUUCCAGGAAAAGCCUCUAAGCAUCAGGUAACAUUAAAUCGUACCCCAAACCGACACAGGUGGUCAGGUAGAGAAUACCAAGGCGCUUGAGAGAACUCGGGUGAAGGAACUAGGCAAAAUGGUGCCGUAACUUCGGGAGAAGGCACGCUGGUGUGUAGGUGAAGUCCCUGCGGACGGAGCUGAGACCAGUCGAAGAUACCAGCUGGCUGCAACUGUUUAUUAAAAACACAGCACUGUGCAAACACGAAAGUGGACGUAUACGGUGUGACGCCUGCCCGGUGCCGGAAGGUUAAUUGAUGGGGUUAUCCGUAAGGAGAAGCUCUUGAUCGAAGCCCCGGUAAACGGCGGCCGUAACUAUAACGGUCCUAAGGUAGCGAAAUUCCUUGUCGGGUAAGUUCCGACCUGCACGAAUGGCGUAAUGAUGGCCAGGCUGUCUCCACCCGAGACUCAGUGAAAUUGAACUCGCUGUGAAGAUGCAGUGUACCCGCGGCAAGACGGAAAGACCCCGUGAACCUUUACUAUAGCUUGACACUGAACAUUGAGCCUUGAUGUGUAGGAUAGGUGGGAGGCUUUGAAGCGUGGACGCCAGUCUGCGUGGAGCCAACCUUGAAAUACCACCCUUUAAUGUUUGAUGUUCUAACGUUGGCCCCUUAUCGGGGUUGCGGACAGUGUCUGGUGGGUAGUUUGACUGGGGCGGUCUCCUCCCAAAGAGUAACGGAGGAGCACGAAGGUUAGCUAAUCCUGGUCGGACAUCAGGAGGUUAGUGCAAUGGCAUAAGCUAGCUUGACUGCGAGCGUGACGGCGCGAGCAGGUGCGAAAGCAGGUCAUAGUGAUCCGGUGGUUCUGAAUGGAAGGGCCAUCGCUCAACGGAUAAAAGGUACUCCGGGGAUAACAGGCUGAUACCGCCCAAGAGUUCAUAUCGACGGCGGUGUUUGGCACCUCGAUGUCGGCUCAUCACAUCCUGGGGCUGAAGUAGGUCCCAAGGGUAUGGCUGUUCGCCAUUUAAAGUGGUACGCGAGCUGGGUUUAGAACGUCGUGAGACAGUUCGGUCCCUAUCUGCCGUGGGCGCUGGAGAAUUGAGGGGGGCUGCUCCUAGUACGAGAGGACCGGAGUGGACGCAUCACUGGUGUUCGGGUUGUCAUGCCAAUGGCACUGCCCGGUAGCUAAAUGCGGAAGAGAUAAGUGCUGAAAGCAUCUAAGCACGAAACUUGCCCCGAGAUGAGUUCU
rnacentral:rRNA from 1 species